GACGAACGCUGGCGGCGUGCUUAACACAUGCAAGUCGAACGGAAAGGCUCCAGCUUGCUGGCGUACUCGAGUGGCGAACGGGUGAGUAACACGUGGGUAAUCUGCCCUGCACUCUGGGAUAAGCCUGGGAAACUGGGUCUAAUACUGGAUAUGACCUUUCUCCUUAUGGGGUUUGGUGGAAAGUUUUUCGGUGUAGGAUGAGCCCGCGGCCUAUCAGCUUGUUGGUGGGGUGAUGGCCUACCAAGGCGACGACGGGUAGCCGGCCUGAGAGGGUGAUCGGCCACAUUGGGACUGAGAUACGGCCCAGACUCCUACGGGAGGCAGCAGUGGGGAAUAUUGCACAAUGGGCGGAAGCCUGAUGCAGCGACGCCGCGUGAGGGAUGACGGCCUUCGGGUUGUAAACCUCUUUCAGCAGGGACGAAGCGUAAGUGAUGGUACCUGCAGAAGAAGCACCGGCUAACUACGUG
rnacentral:rRNA from 1 species